UGAAAUACUGAAUAUAUAUGUAUUAGAAUAUAUAUGUAUAUAUGUAUUAUAACAUAUGUGUGUUUUAUAUAUCUGAAAUUGUAUAUUAUAAUUAUGGUACUUCUUCUGUCUUUAAGAAGAUCAGUCUAGUUUUAGUUUACACUGGCUUAGGAAUUUGGUUUGGUUUGGUUUUCAAGGGUUUCUCUCUAGGCCCAUGACCAUGCUAGGCAAGUUGUACCUGAAGCAUGUCCACAACCUGGCUCAUCUGUUCGUGCUGUGAAUACAAUACUUAGAGCUCUUUGUCCUACUCCCCAGGCAACCCGAACUGCUGCUGAGUCAGACUGCAGGGACCGUGGAAGUGGACGUCCAAGAUACUUGCUGAAGAUUGUUCUCUUCAUUAUUCUUGAUAUUAUGUUUAUAGUAUAUAUUAUAUAAUGUAUUUAAUUUCUACUGCCUAUUCUUAGGUAUAUGAAACGGUAAUUCAACAUUUGUUAUCAAAAUGUAUUUUGACAUUUUAUUUUCUAUUAUGUGUCUCCUUAAUCAUCACCUGGAUCACCUCAUUCUGAACCAUUGCUUGGCUUUGUUGCAAAUUGACUUUUUUUAAAGAUCAGUAUUAAAAAUUUCCCCCUAUUCUGUAUUCCCUCUGUGUUUUUAGCUUGACUCUGUAGGUUCUUUUUAUUCCAGUAAAGAGUGGAAAGGCUAAAGCAUUCUGGCUUGACCAUGUCUUUGCCUUGAUUUACUGAUCAUGCUCACUCUACUCUCUGCUAUAUUUCACCUUCUCACCUCACCAGAAAUAAGGGCGCCCUUAACUCCACAGUAACCUUGGGUUUUCUUUCUUUUUUAAUCAAAGUCAUUGGAUUAUUUGUUUCCAGAUCCCUUAGCUCUAUGCCAGUUCUAAAUUAAGAUACAUAGUUUGGCCUAUAAACCCACAUUUUUUUAAAGAUUAGCCUUUUAAUUUUUAGACACACUGGAAAUCUGGAUUUUUUUCCCCCUUAGUCAGAGAUUAGUUUUCUUCGUGUAGCCCUGGCUGUCCUAGAACUCCCUCUUUUGACUAGACUGUCCUUGAACUCAGAUCUGCUUACUUAUGUCUUCCCAAUUACUAGGAUUAAAGGAAGCAUCACAUGCCCAGGCUCUCAAGCAAAUGUGAAAAACAUUACAUGUAAGAUUUAUAGAGAGUUCGUCAUCUGCAUAUCCUCUGAAUGUAUGUGUAAUAUAAAAUAAAGUCAUACAGAAACUCACUCACCC
rnacentral:lncRNA from 1 species